rnacentral:rRNA from 1 species
ACUCCUACGGGAGGCAGCAGUAGGGAAUUUUCCGCAAUGGACGAAAGUCUGACGGAGCAAUGCCGCGUGAGUGAUGAAGGUUUUCGAAUCGUAAAGCUCUGUUGUAAGGGAAGAAUAGACAAGAAUAGGAAUGAUUCUUGUCUGACGUACCUUACCAGAAAGCCACGGCUAACUACGUGCCAGCAGCCGCGGUAAUACGUAGGUGGCAAGCGUUAUCCGGAAUUAUUGGGCGUAAAGCGCAUGUAGGCGGCUCUUUAAGUCUGAUGUGAAAGCCUGUGGCUCAACCACAGAAUUGCAUUGGAUACUGGAGAGCUAGAAUCUUGGAGAGGUAAGUGGAAUUUCAUGUGUAGCGGUGGAAUGCGUAGAUAUAUGAAGGAACACCAAUGGCGAAGGCAGCUUACUGGACAAGUAUUGACGCUGAGAUGCGAAAGUGUGGUAGCAAACAGGAUUAGAUACCCUGGUAGGCUCUG